GUGCUAAGGUAGCAUAAUCAUUUGUUUCUUAAUUGGAGGCUAGAAUGAAAGGUUGAACUAACUUUACAGGUUUGUUUAGCUACAUAUUAUAUUUAAGUCAAGGUAAGAAUUCUUUGAUCUUCUAGGGGACGAUAAGACCCUAGAAGCUUUAUAAAUAUAAGGGAUUAUAGUUUAAGUUAAUUUAUUUUACUGGGGCGGUAAUAGUGCAUAAACUAUUAAAUUUUUGUGGGAUCCUUAAAAUAAAGAUAGAUCGUAUAAGUUACUUUAGGGGUAACAGUGUUAUAUUUUUGGAGAGAUCUUAUCGAUAAAUAUGUUUACAACCUCGAUGUUGAAUUA
rnacentral:rRNA from 1 species